ACAGCAGUGCUAAUGCCGUGUCCUUAACCACAAAGCCACCAGGCAGGUCCUGUUCACGUCUUCACUUUACUGGCACUUAGCCAGCAUGGAUUCUUCUCCUGUGUGCCAAGAAGUGCAAAGCCGAUGACCAGCAGCCCCAGCCAAGUUCCUUUGCUCCUCUAGCAUCUAGAAGGUUGCCUCCAGUGUGGGUGGAGGUCUCAGGUUUUGGGGUUCGUCACAUGGAGCCCCUGCCUAGGCUUGGGGACCCUUACCCUCACCAAGGACGCUCCUGGUCCUGCCUGCUCCGCAAGAAGUGUCCCAUCUUUGGAAAUCUCUCCGGAAGGUGAAAAUAGUUGCAGAAGCGGGAAGUCAGGACAAGCGUGCUGUUGAUCCGGAAGAAGUGAAGUCACAAGGCUCUCCUUGUUACCUCGCCAGCGGGGGCAGGGGCUCUCUGUCCGGGAGGGAGCCGGUAACAAAGCCGCCCUUCUCUGCAUCUGAUGACAAGCCUCACCAUUGCCUAACCUGCCGGGCGAGAAAACCCAGCGUGUGUCCACCGCGCCCUCCCCGCACCCAGCUCCCAGCCCAUCGUUCCUUCCUGCCAGCUACACCCACGCGGGCCCGGCCCCCUCUUACCGCAGCUGUCCCCCGGCUCCAGCCGCCUCACUCUGCAAACAUGCCCCGUGUUAGCGGAUUUGUGGGCGAGGAUGGGAGUCAGAGGAGCUAAAUCCCACUGCAGGAUGUUCAAAUACCUUCAGGGUUGCAGAUGCAUCUGGAGCGGUGACGUCAACCCCGGCCUCCGCCGGGACUGCUGCGGGGCUGGCAUUCCAGGCGUGUUGGGAGACAGACUUGUCCUGGCUGCCGCCGUCAGCUGGUGGGCCCCUCCCCUGUCCUGGACAGGGGAUUUCUGGUCCUCAGGGGACCCGGGGCUCUGGGAUCAGGCCUCAGCCCAGCAGGGUUGGAAGACAGUGGAUGAGUUUGCAACUGCAGCGUCCCCAGCGACACUUCUUCCCCUUUGGUCCUUAGCAUUAACCCCCAAGUUCUGGGUUCUUGGCCAUUGAGAAUGAAGACUGCAUCCCGGCUCAGCUCAGGUCAGGAGCACAAGGAAGGUGGGGGCACUGUGGCAGAUUUCCAGCCCUUUCCUAGAUGCCCCGAGGCUCGGGGCGCAGGGCCCAGACCCCUCCCUAGGCCCACCCCGGGCUAUGUCCCGCCUGCCCACCCCCCGCCCCUGGGGCUGUGGCUCGCAGCUGACUCAGCCUGGUUAAACCAGUAGGAAGGACCCAGGAAUCCCAAGACUAAUUAGGAUCAAGUGUAGAAAUGCAGGGUGACGAGAACCCAGUAAGUCAGCCAGUCACCAGGGACAAGUACCAGAAAAAUGACUAAAACGCCCUCCUGCCAACCCAGGAGAUGAACUUGACAAAUGAACCAGCCUUAAGACAGAAAGAGCCCCACAUCGCAAGGGACCUGCGAGACUGAGCCUCCCGUCCGGGGCCACGGGGACACAGCCAUCCCUCGGGUGGGCUUUGUGGUGUGGAAUCCGGAGGCGGCUGGCGGCAGCCUGUCGCCUCCAGGAAUCCAAGGGCCAGGCACUCCUUUCCAGUGGCCCAGUUUCCCAGAGGCGCUCCAGGCCCUAGAGGCAUCACCCCGCGGCUGGGAGACAGCGGGGGCGGGAAGGUCAGGAGGGCAGCCGCGAGUUUGGAUCUGGAGGUGGAGUCGGGAGCAGCAACGGCCAGAGCCUCUCGGGCCUGGACAGACUCAGCUGUCACCUGACCUGAGCCCAGCUCCCCAUUUAGAGCCUUCAAGGGGGAGCCACCAGAGUGGGGGCCCUCCCAGCCCUAAGGAGGGGUGCCCAGAGAGCAGGAGGGUCUAGACCAGGAGAGGGGACGGGUGGCCUGGCUCAGAGACCAGUUAACUCACGAUAUGGGCUGAGGACACCCAAAUAAGGUCCCCUCUGAGGCUCUGGGUGGACGUGAAUAGAGGGGACACGGCUCAACCCAGGGUGGCCCCUUCUACUGUCCACCUCCAACUCGGUCUAUAAGGACAGAGCGCUGGGCCAGGACCCGCUGAGCCACUUUGAGCCUCAGGUCCCACACCUGCUCAACAAGACAGGAACAGGGCAUGUUCAUGGGCCCUUCUGGGAAACGCUUGGGACCAAGUGGCUUCGGAAGUAGAAUUCUCCUGCCCUUGGAAAAGGAACUCAGGGCCCUUCCAAAGAGUCCCUCGCAUCCGCGGACAAAAGAAUGUUAACCCACUGUUAAGCCAUCAGCCUCUGAGACUCCCAGACAGUGCGCCCCGGGGGAACUCAGGAGGCAGAGAAACAGGACGGGGCCGGAGAGCUAGGACGCCCAUCAAGGGAGGACUGCGGGGACCCUUGCCUCUCCCCUUACACAGAAGCACUGAAUUCAUUCACUUCAGUUGUCUGUUUUUUGCGAUGAGCAGUAAUCUUUUUUUUCUUCUGUCUUUUGUCUUUUUAAGGCUGCACCUGCGGCAUAUGGAGGCUCCCAAGAUAGGGGUUGAAUCCCAGGCUAGGGGCCGGAGCCACAGCAACGUGGG
rnacentral:lncRNA from 1 species